rnacentral:lncRNA from 1 species
UAUAUUUAAUUUUAAUUUGAAGUAAUGUGUUGGAAAGAUGGUCUCUGAUAAUUUAGUGGUGACAAACAUUCUACUUUUAUAAAAAAAAAAAAAAAAAAAAAAAAAAAAAAAAAAAAAAAAAAAAAAAUACACUGUAAUAUCUAUGCAUAAUAAUUAAUAGUUUUUUUCAGGUAUUUUAAUCCUUUCUUCAGUUUAAUUUCAGAAUGUUUCUGAUAGACUGGAUAGUGGUUGAGAAACACAGAACAUCUUCCGGAUUUUGAUGAAAUCGUGAUGAAGUAAUGGAUACAUUAUUUUCAUGGGAAGGCGGAAUUGAAUUAUGUCAUGAUGGAAGUAAUGGAUACAUUAUUUUCAUGGGAAGGCGGAAUUAUGUCGUGAUGGAAGUAAUGGAUACAUUAUUUUCAUGGGAAGGCGGAAUUGAAUUAUGUCGUGAUGGAAGUAAUGGAUACAUUAUUUUCAUGGGAAGGCGGAAUUGAAUUAUGUCGUGAUGGAAGUAAUGGAUACAUUAUUUUCAUGGGAAGGCGGAAUUGAAUUAUGUCGUGAUGGAAGUAAUGGAUACAUUAUUUUCAUGGGAAGGCGGAAUUGAAUUAUGUCGUGAUGGAAGUAAUGGAUACAUUAUUUUCAUGGGAAGGCGGAAUUGAAUUAUGUCGUGAUGGAAGUAAUGGAUACAUUAUUUUCAUGGGAAGGCGGAAUUGAAUUAUGUCGUGAUGGAAGUAAUGGAUACAUUAUUUUCAUGGAAGGCGGAAUUGAAUUAUGUCGUGAUGGAAGUAAUGGAUACAUUAUUUUCAUGGGAAGGCGGAAUUGAAUUAUGUCGUGAUGGAAGUAAUGGAUACAUUAUUUUCAUGGGAAGGCGGAAUUGAAUUAUGUCGUGAUGGAAGUAAUGGAUACAUUAUUUUCAUGGGAAGGCGGAAUUGAAUUAUGUCGUGAUGGAAGUAAUGGAUACAUUAUUUUCAUGGGAAGGCGGAAUUGAAUUAUGUCGUGAUGGAAGUAAUGGAUACAUUAUUUUCAUGGGAAGGCGGAAUUGAAUUAUGUCGUGAUGGAAGCAAUGGAUACAUUAUUUUCAUGGGAAGGCCGAAUUGAAUUACGUGGUGAUGGAAGUAAUGGAUACAUU